rnacentral:rRNA from 1 species
AUUGAACGCUGGUGGCAUGCCUUACACAUGCAAGUCGAACGGUAACGGGCCUUCGGGUGCCGACGAGUGGCGAACGGGUGAGUAAUACAUCGGAACGUGCCCGAUCGUGGGGGAUAACGAGGCGAAAGCUUUGCUAAUACCGCAUACGAUCUACGGAUGAAAGCAGGGGACCGCAAGGCCUUGCGCGGACGGAGCGGCCGAUGGCAGAUUAGGUAGUUGGUGGGAUAAAAGCUUACCAAGCCGACGAUCUGUAGCUGGUCUGAGAGGAUGAUCAGCCACACUGGGACUGAGACACGGCCCAGACUCCUACGGGAGGCAGCAGUGGGGAAUUUUGGACAAUGGGCGCAAGCCUGAUCCAGCCAUGCCGCGUGCAGGAUGAAGGCCUUCGGGUUGUAAACUGCUUUUGUACGGAACGAAAAGCCUUCUUUUAAUACAGGAGGGUCAUGACGGUACCGGAAGAAUAAGCACCGGCUAACUACGUG